rnacentral:lncRNA from 1 species
GUUUUGUAUUGCUCCCAAAUGGAUAUAAAAUACUGGGAAGGCAAGAGAAAGACAAGAAAGAGAUCUGAUUUAAAAUUCCUUUGCGUCAUAUUUUCAGAAACGUUUAAUGUUUCCAGUUCUCCUACAUAUAUCCUGCAAAAGAAUCUUUUCAUUCCAUCAGCUUCACUACACUAAAAACAAACCUGCCCAGCAAGAAGUAUAUUGUUUGUACUGUUGGCUUCAAAAAAACCUCUUUGAAAUGGGACAAAAGAUAGUCACACACAGUAAGAGAGGAAUGAACAUAGGUAUGAGCUUUCUGAAUAUUCAGAAAUAG